GCGUGCCUAAUACAUGCAAGUCGAGCGAACAGAUGAGGAGCUUGCUCCUCUGACGUUAGCGGCGGACGGGUGAGUAACACGUGGAUAACCUACCUAUAAGACUGGGAUAACUUCGGGAAACCGGAGCUAAUACCGGAUAAUAUAUUGAACCGCAUGGUUCAAUAGUGAAAGACGGUUUUGCUGUCACUUAUAGAUGGAUCCGCGCCGCAUUAGCUAGUUGGUAAGGUAACGGCUUACCAAGGCAACGAUGCGUAGCCGACCUGAGAGGGUGAUCGGCCACACUGGAACUGAGACACGGUCCAGACUCCUACGGGAGGCAGCAGUAGGGAAUCUUCCGCAAUGGGCGAAAGCCUGACGGAGCAACGCCGCGUGAGUGAUGAAGGUCUUCGGAUCGUAAAACUCUGUUAUUAGGGAAGAACAAAUGUGUAAGUAACUAUGCACGUCUUGACGGUACCUAAUCAGAAAGCCACGGCUAACUACGUGCCAGCAGCCGCGGUAAUACGUAGGUGGCAAGCGUUAUCCGGAAUUAUUGGGCGUAAAGCGCGCGUAGGCGGUUUUUUAAGUCUGAUGUGAAAGCCCACGGCUCAACCGUGGAGGGUCAUUGGAAACUGGAAAACUUGAGUGCAGAAGAGGAAAGUGGAAUUCCAUGUGUAGCGGUGAAAUGCGCAGAGAUAUGGAGGAACACCAGUGGCGAAGGCGACUUUCUGGUCUG
rnacentral:rRNA from 1 species